rnacentral:lncRNA from 1 species
UGUAGCUUUUAUUUAUUUCUUUCUGCUUUUUAGUACACCUCCUGUUGUUGGAUGACAUUGUGACGCAUUGCCUUCGAGAAACCUCAGUCUCAGACACAACCUGUUGGUUAGUGAGGAGCACACAAAACCAGUACUGGACCAGGUAUUGUCCUGGGCUUGAUCAUCAAGUUCUCUGUCACUCCGUCCGAACAAGGCAAAUUCUACAUCAGUUUACCAGGAGAGUUUAUAUUGCAUACUUUGCAUGUGGUUACCACUCCUUUCCUCAUCACAAGUGUGACGACAGGUGUUGCUCGUCUAUUUGGAACUUCAGGAAAAAUCACUGCACUGGCGUCAGCAUAUUUUGCCUCAACGACUCUUCUGUCUGUGACUUUGGGGUUGAUCCUGGCUCUGUCCAUCGAGCCAGUGGAUGCCAUGAGAAAAGAAGAUACAGAAGAUACAGAAGAUAAGAAGAUCUCUAUUGUCGACGUCUUGGUGGAUCUAGUCUGAAUGCAACACAUGUGCAAAUUGUGAGAC